rnacentral:rRNA from 1 species
UAGGGAAUAUUAGUAAUGGGCGCAAGCCUGCACUAGCAACGCCGCGUGUGAGAAGAAGGCCUUCGGGUUUUAAAGCACUUUUUGAGAGGAUGAGGAAGGACGGUACUCUCAGAAUAAGUCUCGGCUAACUACGUGCCAGCAGCCGCGGUAACACGUAGGAGGCGAACGUUAUCCGGAUUUACUGGGCGUAAAGCGCGUGUAGGUGGUUUGGUAAGUAGGGCGUGAAAGCUCCUGGCUCAACUGGGAGAGGCCGUUCUAAACUGCCGAACUAGAGGAUGGUAGAGGGAGGUGGAAUUCCGGGUGUAGCGGUGGAAUGCGCAGAUAUCCGGAGGAACACCAGUGGCGAAAGCGGCCUCCUGGACCAUUCCUGACACUCAGACGCGAAAGCUAGGGUAGCAAACGG